rnacentral:rRNA from 1 species
UUAAAUUAACUUAGUGGCGGACGGGCGAGUAACACGUGAGCAACCUGCCUCUUACAGGGGAAUAACAACGGGAAACCGUUGCUAAUACCGCAUAACAUGUUGAAAGGGCAUCCUUUUAACAUCAAAGGAGCAAUCCGGUAAGAGAUGGGCUCGCGUCCGAUUAGCUAGUUGGUAGGGUAACGGCCUACCAAGGCGACGAUCGGUAGCCGGACUGAGAGGUCGAACGGCCGCAUUGGGACUGAGACACGGCCCAGACUCCUACGGGAGGCAGCAGCU